UACGUAGGUGACCAGUGUUGUCCGGAUUUACUGGGCGUAAAGCGUGCGCAGGCGGUGAUGUAAGACCGAUGUGAAAUCCCCGGGCUCAACCUGGGAACUGCAUUUGUGACUGCAUCGCUGGAGUACGGCAGAGGGGGAUGGAAUUCCGCGUGUAGCAGUGAAAUGCGUAGAUAUGCGGAGGAACACCGAUGGCGAAGGCAAUCCCCUGGGCCUGUACUGACGCUCAUGCACGAAAGCGUGGGGAGCAAACAGG
rnacentral:rRNA from 1 species